GCCGGGUGUGGUGGCGUGCGCCUGUAGUCCCAGCUACUUGGGAGGCUGAGGCAGGAGACUCACUUGAACCCAGGAGGUGGAUGUUGCAGUGAGCCGAGAUUGUGCCACUGCACUCCAGCCUGGGCAACAGAGGGAGAGUCUGUCUCAA
ensembl:misc_RNA Metazoa_SRP Metazoan signal recognition particle RNA